AGAGUUUGAUCAUGGCUCAGAACGAACGCUGGCGGCGUGGAUAAGACAUGCAAGUCGAGCGAGAUUUUUUCCUGUAGCAAUACAGGGAAAAGUCUAGCGGCGAACGGGUGCUUAACACGUGGGCAACCUGCCGAGAAGUGGGGGAUAGCUCGCCGAAAGGCGAAUUAAUACCGCAUGUGAUUAGAGAGGACAUCCUUUCGAAAUUAAAGUCGGGGCAACCUGACGCUUUUUGUGGGGCCCGCGGCCUAUCAGCUAGUUGGUGAGGUAACGGCUCACCAAGGCUUUGACGGGUAGCUGGUCUGAGAGGACGACCAGCCACACUGGGACUGAGACACGGCCCAGACACCUACGGGUGGCAGCAGUCGAGAAUUUUUCUCAAUGGGGGAAACCCUGAAGGAGCGACGCCGCGUGGAGGAUGAAGGUCUUCGGAUUGUAAACUUCUGUCAUUGGGGAACAAGGUGCAUACGUUAACUGCGUGUGCAUUGAUAGUACCCGAAGAGGAAGAGACGGCUAACUCUGUGCCAGCAGCCGCGGUAAUACAGAGGUCUCAAGCGUUGUUCGGAUUCAUUGGGCGUAAAGGGUGCGUAGGCGGCGCGGUAAGUCGGGUGUGAAAUCUUGGAGCUUAACUCCGAAACUGCAUUCGAUACUGCCGUGCUUGAGGACUGGAGAGGAGACUGGAAUUUACGGUGUAGCGGUGAAAUGCGUAGAUAUCGUAAGGAAGACCAGUGGCGAAGGCGGGUCUCUGGACAGUUCCUGACGCUGAGGCACGAAGGCCAGGGGAGCAAACGGGAUUAGAUACCCCAGUAGUCC
rnacentral:rRNA from 1 species